GGGCCGAGAUCCGGUCAUCAUCGAGCGGCUUGCCAGUGAAACGCGUCUGCACACCAUUCGAUGGGCUCAGGUGCGACACGUGAACUGCAUUUCGUGCACGGGCGCGCAGUACGGACGGACAUCAGCAAUAUGUUAUCCUCGGCGACGAAACGUCCGGAGUAUGUUGACGGAGAUGUUUCGUGGUCGACAGGUGCAUAACGCGCAAAGGAAGGGCAUGCCUGCAACGUUGACAUGCUUGUGACAGAUGCUGGGGCCAAGACUCGUAUGCGAUGUAUUUGUAAGGACGAAGUCUGGCUGGCUUUGGUCAUUACCUGCCAAGGCUGUCGUGUCGAAGGUAUGAGUGAGAUGACUUUGUGCAGGAGAUGAAACGUCGUCGCCCGCGCACUUCCCAGAACAGCAUUUUGGCACCAACGACCGACUUUAUCUGAUCCAACGGUAAACAACAGGUCCAUGCGGCAUUGGCCCAGGUCGUGCCGCCAGAAUUCGUACACUGCAAUCACGCGGCCACGGGGUACGACGAAAUCUGGGACGAGCAGGGGAUGGAUAACGGUACGGACGUAGACGAGUCAGCAACCGCAACAACGGCAAUGGCGUCCUCGCCAUCAGCUGUCAGGCCAGCUCACCGUGCUGUCGUACACUUCCGAGACCAACCCAG
rnacentral:lncRNA from 1 species